rnacentral:rRNA from 1 species
AACCGUUACGGGGGAAGCGUAUUGGGUCAAAUUGAUUUGGGGGAGUGCUGCUGUUCAACGGGGUGAUUCCCGUGUACUCAGUGCAUUUUCUUACCCGUCGUGUGCUUUGGAUGGUCGAUUUUGGGCUGUCUGGGGCUGAGGGAUCCCCUUUUAUAGGGUGAAGACGAUGGGGCGCUGACACGAUACGACCCGUCUUGAAACACGGACCAAGGAGUUCAGCAUGUGUGCGAGUCAAAGGGUGAUUAAACCUGGGGGCGCAGUGAAAGCAACUUUUGUGUAAGGGAAUCCAACAUUAAGCAGUUUCAGGCGGCAUACGAUCGUUGAUUGUAGGACUGACCUAGAGCACAUGUGCUGAGACCCGAAAGAUGGUGAACUAUGCCGGAGUAGGGCGAAGCCAGAGGAAACUCUGGUGGAGGCUCGUAGCGGUGCUGACGUGCAAAUCGCUCGUCUGACUCGGGUAUAGGGGCGAAAGACUAAUCGAACCAUCUAGUAGCUGGUUUCCUCCGAAGUUUCUCUCAGGAUAGCAGGCCGACGAAUAAGCAUGAAGUCUCAGUUGUUGUGUGCGGUAAAGCGAAUGAUUAGCGUAUUUGGGGGUGAUUAGCCUUCAGACGAUUCUCAAACUUUAAAUGCGCACGGAUGUUGCCGCUUGGGUGGGCGGUAUCAAUUAAAAAACGUCGGCCUUGUGGGCCACUUUUGGUAAGCAGAACUGGCGAUACGGGAUGAACCGUAAGUGUGGUUAAGGCGCCUAAUUGUUCGCUCACAGACCCCAAAAAAGGUGUUGAUUCAUAUAGACAGCAGGACGGUGGCCAUGGAAGUCGGAAUCCGCUAAGGAGUGUGUAACAACUCACCUGCCGAAUGAAUUAGCCCUGAAAAUGGAUGGCGCUUAAGCGAAGCAGCCGACACCACACCAUCUGAGUAAGGUGAACAUCAGAUGAGUAGGAGGACGUGGCGGUCGUAUCGAAGCGUAUGUGCGAACGUACGUGGAACGGCCGCUAGUGCAGAUCUUGGUGGUAGUAGCAAAUAUUCAAAUGAGAACCUUGAAGGGUGAAGUGGGGAAGGGUUCCACGCGAACAUUGAUUGAACGUGGGUAAGUCGUUCCUAAGCCAAGUGGCAAUGGCUAAAUUAUAUGGCGAAAGGGAAGCAGGUUGAUAUUCCUGCACACGGAUGUGGAUGCGGUGACGCACGUCUGAGGCGAUGACGUCGGCGAUGGAUCUGGGCAGAGUUUUCUUUUCUGUUUGACCGAACCAGGCGCGCUGUGUGGAAUCCGCUUGUCGGGAGAAACACGCGUGUUUGGGCAAAGCGCCGGGAGU